rnacentral:rRNA from 1 species
UACGUAGGGCGCAAGCGUUGUCCGGAAUUAUUGGGCGUAAAGAGCUCGUAGGCGGCUUGUCACGUCGGAUGUGAAAGCCCGGGGCUUAACCCCGGGUCUGCAUUCGAUACGGGCAGGCUAGAGUGUGGUAGGGGAGAUCGGAAUUCCUGGUGUAGCGGUGAAAUGCGCAGAUAUCAGGAGGAACACCGGUGGCGAAGGCGGAUCUCUGGGCCAUUACUGACGCUGAG